rnacentral:rRNA from 1 species
UGAGACACGACGUCGAGCUACUACGGUAGUGAAGUCAUUGAUGCCAUGCUUCCAGGAAAAGCCUCUAAGCUUCAGAUAGUCAGGAAUCGUACCCCAAACCGACACAGGUGGUCGGGUAGAGAAUACCAAGGCGCUUGAGAGAACUCGGGUGAAGGAACUAGGCAAAAUGGUACCGUAACUUCGGGAGAAGGUACGCUCUUGAUGGUGAAGUCCCUCGCGGAUGGAGCUGACGAGAGUCGCAGAUACCAGGUGGCUGCAACUGUUUAUUAAAAACACAGCACUGUGCAAAAUCGCAAGAUGACGUAUACGGUGUGACGCCUGCCCGGUGCCGGAAGGUUAAUUGAUGGGGUUAGCGCAAGCGAAGCUCUUGAUCGAAGCCCCGGUAAACGGCGGCCGUAACUAUAACGGUCCUAAGGUAGCGAAAUUCCUUGUCGGGUAAGUUCCGACCUGCACGAAUGGCGUAAUGAUGGCCACGCUGUCUCCACCCGAGACUCAGUGAAAUUGAAAUCGCUGUGAAGAUGCAGUGUACCCGCGGCUAGACGGAAAGACCCCGUGAACCUUUACUACAGCUUGGCACUGAACAUUGAACCUACAUGUGUAGGAUAGGUGGGAGGCUAUGAAGACGUGACGCCAGUUGCGUUGGAGCCGUCCUUGAAAUACCACCCUUGUAUGUUUGAUGUUCUAACUUAGACCCAUUAUCUGGGUUGAGGACAGUGCCUGGUGGGUAGUUUGACUGGGGCGGUCUCCUCCCAAAGAGUAACGGAGGAGCACGAAGGUGGGCUAAUCACGGUUGGACAUCGUGAGGUUAGUGCAAUGGCAUAAGCCCGCUUAACUGCGAGAAUGACGGUUCGAGCAGGUGCGAAAGCAGGUCAUAGUGAUCCGGUGGUUCUGUAUGGAAGGGCCAUCGCUCAACGGAUAAAAGGUACUCCGGGGAUAACAGGCUGAUACCGCCCAAGAGUUCAUAUCGACGGCGGUGUUUGGCACCUCGAUGUCGGCUCAUCACAUCCUGGGGCUGAAGUCGGUCCCAAGGGUAUGGCUGUUCGCCAUUUAAAGUGGUACGCGAGCUGGGUUUAGAACGUCGUGAGACAGUUCGGUCCCUAUCUGCCGUGGGCGUUGGAAGAUUGAAGGGGGCUGCUCCUAGUACGAGAGGACCGGAGUGGACGAACCUCUGGUGUUCGGGUUGUGUCGCCAGACGCAUUGCCCGGUAGCUAAGUUCGGAAUUGAUAAGCGCUGAAAGCAUCUAAGCGCGAAGCGAGCCCUGAGAUGAGUCUUCCCUGA